UGCAAGUCAUUGAACCUGUCUAAGACUCAGGAUACUGAGACAGCAAGACCUUCCUCAAAUUGCCGAGUCCUUCAAGAACUCCUGGCAGUGCUUUCUUCAGAUGAUGCUCAGAAUCCAGCCACCUCUGACCGUCUUCACUCUGAGUGCCAGGGGCUCUUCACCUCCCUGCACACUGGGCUCUCUGUUUCUGCUCCUAGCCUCGCAGCCUCUCAUCAAGUGGCCUGUCACUCCUCUGCUCAAGGCACUGUGUGUUAGGAUGAUCAUCAGCACUAGCUGCUGUGCCUGGAGUGGUCCCCACACACGCUUGACUGCCUCCCUCACUCCGUCAAGUUGAUACAGAAGGGCUGGGCUCCUGGCUAAACCCUACCCUUAAGCCUGGAACCUCGGCCCUAAAGGACCCCAUUUUCCCCAAAAAUGUUACCUUUUUGGCCUGCCUGCCCACAUGCUGUGCCCAUAAAAGACUUCAGCUGGCAGAGCAACACAAGCGGCUGAGCACUGAGGAUAUAAGCAGCUGAGCGGCGAGCAGAAAAGCAACUGAGCAUCGGAGACUGUGGAUAGAUCUGGCUAACUUCAGAUGGUGCAGCUUUGGAGAGGGGCCCUGCCGGAGACGGUGGGGCUUCAGGGAAAGAUCACCAUCCCAUCACCUUUCCAUCCUCCCUUUCCACUGAGAGCCACCCAACACCCAGUAAAGUAUUUUGCAUUCGUCACCUUUCAAACAGUUUAUGUGACCUGAUUCUUCUUCCUGGACGCCAGACAAGAACCUGGGUGCCAAGAAGGCAGGGGCUGCCACCCUGAACCUCCAUUGAACUGGUUGGUAUUUGGCCAUCCCCUGACAGCACAGCUGAAAGAAUAGGGACGCUGCUGCAGGGCCCGAACAGAGCCUGCUCCUGCCAGAGAGGAGCAACCGGCUGGUUCCAGCGUUCAUUUGCUCCGGUUCCCACACUUGCUCACACACUCACUCCCACAAGGAGUGGCCAGCAACAGGCUGAGUGAAACAAAGUGCUCCUUAGCUGGGCGUGAUGGUGUGUGCCUGUAAUCCCAACAUAAGAAACCCCAUCUCUACUAAAAAUACAAAAUUAGACGGGCUUGGUGGCCCGUGCCUGUAAUCCCAGCGACUCGGGAGGCUGAGGCAGGAGAAUCACUUGAACCCGGGAGACGGAGGUUGCAGUGACCUGAAAUCUCACCACUGCACUCCAGCCUGGGCAACAGGGCGAGACUCAGUCUCAAAAAAAAACAAAACAAAAACAAAAAACAAAGUGCUCCAGUUCCCGCCCAUGAAGGGCGUCAGGGCAACUAUUCCAUCGCAAAGUCAUUGCUUAUGUUUUACCUUCUCAGUGAACCCAACCUUGGCCAUCCUAUUUAACAUUGCUCUCCUCCCCACCCUGCCAUAGCACUCCAAUCUCCCUUGAUAUUCCCUACUUCUUUGCGCACUUACCACCUUCAAGUAUAGUAUUAUUUAUUUCUUUAUUACAUUUGUUGCUCUUGCCCAACCCUUACCUAUAAUGCAAGCUCUAUAGAGGCAGAAAUCUUUGUCUCUUUUGUUCAUUGAUAUAUCCCAAGCACCUAGGACAGUGCCUGGCAUAAAAGGAGCUUGAUACAUAUUUAUCCAGUGAAGUUUGUUGAAUGAAUGACAUGAGAAUCACUUUGGUUAUCUGGCCUAGAUGGGCCAGUGAAAAUCUGGCUAUGAUUAAAAUGAGCUUCUAGAAGCCCACAGCAUGUGAAUUAAAUUGGAGUGGGCUUGUUUCUUUUAACUGUACUGAAGAGCUUAGAGAAGGAGUAAUACACUUGAAGUUCUAAGUUCCUGAUUCUGUAGACAGUCAGAGGACCAGGGACUGUCCACAAUUAUUCUUUAAAAAUAUCUCAUUUCUUGUAGCUACAAUGCUGAAGUAGUUAAUAAACUCAAAAUUGACUUCUCCAAGUUGAAAUCACAACCUUGCCAAGUCUCUUAUAUAAAAGUUAGAGCACUGAUCAGGAAAGAGGGACACCCACAGAAUUGGAACAGGAAGGUAUUAGAGAAUUUAAUAGACUCCAAACUCCAAAUUAUCUUCACACUCUACCCUACCACCCUUCAUUGCUUUCAGAAUUAUAAAUAAGCCAGAUGCCAGCAUACCUGGGGGAAGAGGCCAAUUACAAAGACAAAGCUUAGAGAAAAAGAUUUACACACCAGGAGAAUUUCAAGCUGCUGCUAACCUGUAUGAGCAGAAAUGUGAAGACUGGGAUUGGGAAUGAAUUUUUGAACCAGCUCAGUUAAUGUGCAAGCAUUCACCAGAGACUGGAAGUUCAGCUACUAGCUUAAAUAUCUGGAAGUGGAUCAGAAUGGUUGCUCAGUUGGAUGACAGAAACUGAACUCAAUAAAGGCUUAUUUGAAAUAAAGUUAUUUCUAGAAAAUCCUUUUUGUAAUAAAGAAAAAGGAAUCUGACUGCCUAGGGAGACAGGAAUGUUGGGGUAGAAUUAUUGCGUGGAAUCCAUUCACUCAUUCACCAACUGUGAGA
rnacentral:lncRNA from 10 species